rnacentral:rRNA from 1 species
UACGUAGGGCGCAAGCGUUGUCCGGAAUUAUUGGGCGUAAAGAGCUCGUAGGUGGUUUGUCGCGUCCGCUGUGAAAACCCGAGGCUCAACCUCGGGCCUGCAGUGGGUACGGGCAGACUAGAGUGCGGUAGGGGAGACUGGAAUUCCUGGUGUAGCGGUGGAAUGCGCAGAGUAUCAGGAGGAACACCGAUGGCGAAGGCAGGUCUCUGGGCCGCAACUGACACUGAGGAGCGAAAGCAUGGGGAGCGAACAGG